GAAAUGACAUUGAAAUUAAAUUAACUUAAAUUGAUUGAGCGUUGAUCAGUUAUCAAAAUUAUAAUGAAAUUAACAAAAAAUAUCCAGAUAUCACAUAAUCAACAAAAAUUGUACCUUAAAAUACCGAAAUUCCUGUGUCAGCUAUCCUUUAAGGGUUGAAUUUUAGUAAUUUCAAUGGCUAUAAAUCUUUUCCGGACCACUAAAAUUGUUUGUAAAAAACUCAGUUAAAAUUGGUCCAGUAGUUUUUGAGUCUAAAUGAUGUACAGACAGACAGAUAGACAUUAUUUUUAUAUAUAAAGAUAGGUUGAUUUAUAUUUUAAAUGUUAUUAUCGUGAAAAAUAAUAUUUAUUUAUUUUUCCGAACAAUUUAUGAAACAAGGAGCUCUAGAAUGUUACAUUGCUCAUUUAAGGUAUAUUUAAAUUCACUCUGUAAGAAUGAGUAGUACUAUUCAAAUUCCACACAAAUUCUCCACAGCUUUACUCCUACCCAAACUUAAAAGUAGAAUAUCUCUCAACUGGUAAAUAGAAAUUAAAAAUGUCAAAAAAUAAUUUAAUCUGAACAAAAGCUUAAUUUAUUUAAGGAAUUUGUAAUAUAAGUAGCUAUUUGUAAAUCUAAUGUGGGUUGUGGUUUCACUCCCUAAAAUAAUGAAAAUGUAAC